GCCGAGGUUUGAGGGAAAUUUUCUGUGCACCAUAGGUGGUGAACGACCGCACGCACCAUUCACUAUCAUUGACUCAUAUAUAGAAUUAAAAAAUAUUUUUUUUAUAUACCACAUUUUAAUUUCAUUCGUAAGCCAAUCAUGGUAGAUGGUAUAUGCAUUGUGCAUCAUCUAUGGUACACAUAGAAUUUUUCAUAUUUGAGUUUAAGUCAAUCCAUCUUGAAAGUUUGCUU
rnacentral:lncRNA from 1 species